rnacentral:RNase_P_RNA from 5 species
UCGGUAAGUCAGGCGAUAGCUCCGACGUAAAAUCGGAGAGGAAAGUCCGGACACUUAGUAAAAGGUAGCGGCUAACAGCCGUCGGGAGUAAUCCUAGAGGUGCGAACAGAGACGUCCCGACCCGAAAGGCGUCGGAGAGACCCAAUCCCAACGUAGAUGGUCUAUCUCUGCUAUAGGGAUAAAAAAGCAGAGGUGAAACGGCUAAAUCCUUACUGGGUGCAAGGCCGUGCCGAGCACAUAAGAUUUAUAUGCUCGGAGUGCCGCUAGAUUCCGAGAGUAAUCGAGGAACCAGAUAAAUUAUCGUCAAAUACAGAAUCCGGCUUAUGACUUGCCGAUUUU